AAGACAUUACUUGAUUUAUAGCAGGUGAAAAUUAGGAAAAAUGAACAUGUGGAUUCCAUCUUUUAGGUGUGAUUUUCCACUCUAAGGGAACUUCCCUGUUUCUCCCUUUUCCAAAUCUAGAAUCUGAGUAUAGAAAGAAGCAUAUAUACCUUUAUGUCAUUCAUCCUGUAAGGUAACGGCACCUGAGGGUUUAUGUAAGAGGUGCCAUGUGGGUCUGUUGAAAUAUUUUGCUGUAGUCUACCCUUUUGUCUAAUCCAGGCACCUUUUGUCUCAGCUGUGGCACUGAAGAAAUUCUGAAUUCUUGUACACACCAAAAACAGGUGAUAGUAGCAGUUAAUUCUGAGGAAAUAGAUGUGGUCUUUUAAAUUCAGUUUUUCUCUUCUUCUUCUUUUAAGCUUCACCACCCAGGACCAGAAAGACUUUCCCCAUUUCUGCCUUUUAAAUUACACCCAUGAUUCACAUAAAACUGAAUAAGAUAAGCUACUCUUCAGCUUCUUAAAUGGAUGAUCAUUCAGUCUACUGCCCCAAAUUAAAACUGAGCAACUUAACUACCAUAUAUGCAUGGUAGAGCGACCAUAUAUGCAAACAAUACAGAGUUGUCAAUUAACUCCAUGAAAGUUUAUUUUUACCAGAAAAUUAUAUUUCUGAAGAGACCAUUCAGGUAAUAAAGUAAUUAGAGAAAGGCAUGGGAGACGGACAUGAAAAUUAUAGUAUUUGCAUUCUGAAAGGAAGAGACUACACUCAAGACAUCUGCAACCACCAAAGCUAAGGAUUAAAAAGAACACCCACUUUGCUAAGUUUUAUGACAAAUUGAUAUAAGAAGAUUUCCCUAGCUCCACCACAAAUUGUAAGAUUCUAGUAUCAUUGUAUUCUUUAUAUUUGGUUUGAAAUAGCAAAUGUGAAAAUAUAGUCCCUGGCAAGGACUAAAUGUUCAAAAACCGUUUGUUUUUAUAUUUUCUGCAUAUUUUGCCUGCCAUGUAUCUAACCACCUAUGUAUCCAUCUAACUAUUCUACUUUUGAAUUUCUUUCUCAUUUUGUCUAACCAUGUACUUCUAUCUUCCAUUUGCUCAAAUAUGAAAAUCAAGGAAAGGUGGCAAAAUGGAACUUGGAUCACUGUUUCAUAUAAUAAAAUAGGUGAAAUUCUGUUGCCUGGGACUAUGCCUUAAAAAAAGCUGCCCAAGUAGGGAUCCAAGAAAACAGAAAGAUAGUUGACUGGCCAGAAACUAAUCCAAGUUGCCUGUUCUAAAUUUUUUUU